GGACUACUGGGGUUUCUAAUCCCGUUUGCUCCCCUAGCUUUCGCACCUCAGCGUCAGUCAUGGACCAGAGAGCCGCCUUCGCCACCGGUGUUCCUCCUGAUAUCUACGCAUUUCACCGCUCCACCAGGAGUUCCGCUCUCCCCUACCAUCCUCUAGCACCGCAGUCUGCCAGGCAGUUCCACGGGUAAGCCGUGGGAUUUCACCCAACACUUGCGGCGCCGCCUACGUGCGCUUUAAGCCCAGUAAUUCCGAACAACGUUUGCACUCUCUGUAUUACCGCGGCGGCUGGCAC
rnacentral:rRNA from 2 species